AGGAGCAAACAAGCAAUUUGCAACCUUGAAGAUAACACCCAACUCAUCUCAAGUGAUUUAAGUUUUGGGGGGAAAUCUUGCCCUUCUGGUUCUGGAGUGUGAAUGCUAACAAAAGAAAAUGUCUGAAUGCAUGCACUCGGGCUAAAAUUACAUUGCUGACAUAAUUAAUGCACCCAUUUAACAGAAGUGGAUAUUAGCACCCAGCCACAGGAGGAGGUGGGAUGGUAAGAAAAAAAGAAGAAAUCGCUGCACUUGGCUUUACUUUAGUGAAAACAGAGAUAUGAGCUGCCCUUUUCAGUGCUGGGCAGUUCUAGCAACUACAGUAUCUGCCAUGGUGUGGGAUUUAAGAAGCAAAUUCUGUCCUGCCAUGUCUUGUUUCAAGAGAAACAAAUGCUGCAAGUUGUGAAAAAGACUACAGAAAAGCUACUUCUCUGAAGUGAAUACAUUAUUGCUGAGGAAAUGCAAGAAAAGAAAUCCAUGAUUGUGACUGGGUAUCUGCCACAAGACUGAGGGGAAACUCCUCUUGCUACCCCAGCCAAGCCUGAGUUGGGAGUCAAUGUCCAUCCACUCCCAACAGCUUUCCGAUGGCUGUGACCCAUCAGAGGACCAGCAUAGUGGCCAGAGUCAUGGUCCAAUGAGAUCUUCUGAAGAUGGGGGCAAUUCUCCCUGUUUCUCUGUUUCUCAGGUAACUGAGGGUUUAAUUGCACCACGAAGAAGGGAAGUGAAGGCAAUCUUUAGUAUGCACAUUAAAAUUUUGGUGCAACUCUUGAGAAAUCCCUCUGCAAGGAUGGGAGGCACGUCCAAAAUGCAGCCCCAACACCCAAGGCUAUGGGCAACACUGCUGGGACUCAGGCAGACUUGAAAUUCCAGGGCCAAGCCAUGAUAUCUGUUGGCCUCCGAUCUCAUGUAUACUGUACCAGGAGAAGUGAUAAAUCAUUUUGGCACACUUGCUGGGAAUAGCAGCCCUCAAUAAAAGACCAAAACUCAAGUGAGGCAGCCUGACACUGCGCUAUUCCCAGUGCACUCUGUUACACAGAUUAAUCCUUCUUGAUGGAGAAUUACAAUUAGGGCUCCAUUUUAAGGAGAUAUCAGCAAUCAGAUAUCUUAUCAAAUGCCAGCUCAAUUAUUCAAAUAAUCCCUGGCUCUAGAUUUGGGGGCUGUUUAGGGAAAGUGGUACGAUUAAUGUGCUGACGCUUCCCCAUCACGUCUGACAUUCUCAACUUCAUGUCUGAUUACAGAAUUUGCAUUCAAUUUAAUUUUUCCAUCUGGAGUAAAUGAAUAAUCCGAGUACCUACCCCAUCCUUAAUUACAUUUGUUAAAUUAAAAACUGGGAUGUGAGAAAUUUAAAUGCAUGUAGCUUUGCGGCCAGACAAACUGCACGUUCAACCUGCUGUCUCCUGCUCCAAUUUCUUUCCCUUCCCCUCAGCCAUGCAUCAAAGAAAUUACAACUAGAAAACAAAAAUUCUUUAUAAAUGAUGAAACAAUAGAUGAUCUUUUGACAUUUCCAGUACUGUUUGCAGGGGAAUGAGAUAAAAUGUAAUAAAUUCAUAUACUUCUGUGUGUU